UGCCAGCCGCCGCGGUAAUACGAAGGGACCUAGCGUAGUUCGGAAUUACUGGGCUUAAAGAGUUCGUAGGUGGUUGAAAAAGUUAGUGGUGAAAUCCCAGAGCUUAACUCUGGAACUGCCAUUAAAACUUUUCAGCUAGAGUAUGAUAGAGGAAAGCAGAAUUUCUAGUGUAGAGGUGAAAUUCGUAGAUAUUAGAAAGAAUACCAAUUGCGAAGGCAGCUUUCUGGACAGAUACUGACGCUGAGGAACGAAAGCGUGGGGAGCGAACAGGAUUAGAUA
rnacentral:rRNA from 1 species